AACGAACGCUGGCGGCAUGCCUAACACAUGCAAGUCAAACGAGACCUUCGGGUCUAGUGGCGCACGGGUGCGUAACGCGUGGGAAUCUGCCCUUUGCUUCGGAAUAACAGUUAGAAAUGACUGCUAAUACCGGAUGAUGUCUUCGGACCAAAGAUUUAUCGGCAAAGGAUGAGCCCGCGUAAGGAUUAGGUAGUUGGUGGGUAAAGGCCUACCAAGCCGACGAUCCUUAGCUGGUCUGAGAGGAUGAUCAGCCACACUGGGACUGAGACACGGCCCAGACUCCUACGUGAGGCAGCAGUGGGGAAUAUUGGACAAUGGGCGCAAGCCUGAUCCAGCAAUGCCGCGUGAGUGAUGAAGGCCUUCGGGUCGUAAAGCUCUUUUACCAGGGAUGAUAAUGACAGUACCUGGAGAAUAAGCUCCGGCUAACUCCGUGCCAG
rnacentral:rRNA from 1 species